GAUCUCAUGGACUGAAUCUAAAAUCACCCUGAACUGUGUCUACAGAGGAGCCUGGGAAAUGUAGUUUUAAUCUUUCUUCCCCUGUGACACAGUGAAAAUGAGAGGAAAGGUUGAAAAUUGAUGCCAGUGCCAAUAGACAAUACCUGGCACAACAACUUCAUUCAGUAACCCCUGUUUUCAUCAUUGCUGCUGCUUGGUGAUUGCUUCUUUUAGCACCUAAUGUAUCCCCUGGUCAUUUGUCACUAUUUUAUUUUAUAAUGCUCACACUCCAGUGGUAGCUUAGCCUGAUACCACCAUAAUGGGGGAGAGUUUCUCCUCCAACAGUAAACCUUUCAAACAAACUUUUUUUUUUUUUUUCAGAUGGAUUCUUGCUCUGUCACCCAGACUGAAGUGCAGUGGUGCGAUCUCGGCUCACAGCAACUUCCGCCUCCAAGGUUCAAACAAUUCUCCUGCCUCAGCCUCCUGAGUAGCUGGGAUUGCAGGCAUGUGCCUCCAUACUUGGCUAAUUUUUUUUUUUUGUAUUUUUAGGCGAGGCAGGGUUUUGUCAUGUUGGCCAGGCUGGUCUUGAACUCCUGACCUCAGGCAAUCCUCCCACCUCAGCCUCCUGGGCUCAGUGGUUCAUGCUGGGAUUAUGGGUAUGAGCCACUGCACCUGGCCCCAAAUGAACUUUUGAAGAGGAGCUGGGCUUUACAAUUUAUAGCCCCUCCCCGAGACUUCAUCAGAGUCACAUGGCACCACGUGGCGAAUUUCUCUCCGGUGAUCCAUCAGUGUCCUAGGAGAGCUUCAGGCCCCUCAAUUCUUUUUUGUCUCUGGAGGAAGAAGAGCAAACCAGCAUUGGAAGGAAGAGAAAGGAAUUUCUUGAAAGGCAGAAAAGCCACAGAAAAAAGAGCCCAUAGUAUGUGGAAGACAUGACUGACCACUCACCACCAGAUCUUCAGCAAUCUAAGAAAUGGGGCUGUAUCUUGCAUGAACCUAAGGGAAGAAAAACUGGCUGGAAUUUUGUAUAACAGUUUUGUUUUAUGAACCAGCACUACCUUACCCAACCAUUUUACUGUAAGUUGUUUUCUUUCUUUUUCUUUUGGAGUUGGACUCCUUUUUAUUAGGUGAGAUGCUGAGAUGUUCGGGGCCUGUGGCCCUGCUCCAGGUGCUAGGCUGGAAACGCAUCAUGUGUUCUGGCCAGAAGACUUCCUGAGGGGUUGAAGAAGGCUGCGGGGCAGAGAUGCCAGGUUACUCUGGAAAUCACUUGCCUACUAAAUAUAGUGGAUGAUUAUGCAGUUAUUCCAUUGAUUUUUUCCUAAUCACAGUUUACUGGAGGCCUUAACCUUUAGAAUUCUUAACAGCGGGGGGCUGGAAAAGCUGUCCUGGUGUCCUGUCACAACAAACAUCUUCGAAUAGUAAUUAAGGCAACGUAUUGUUACCUUGGUUACACAGAACCAUCCCCAGAGCGUGACUGCAUGAUGUCCAGAGCCAGGGGUGUCAGGAACUAACCCGACCUCAGGCGAGCUGAGGCAGGACAUGAGUGGGCCCGGGAAUCUGAAGGCUAAGGCUGGGCCUACUACUGAUAUAAGGGAGCAUAGUUAGGGGCCCCUAUUAAUUCUCCAGUUUCUUUGGAAGCUGAGAGCAACAAAAGCUAAGUCCAACAUGAAUGUUAACAGGAUCUAGUGUUGGAAACAAAGGAAAUGAUGAACUUAUAUAAUCAUAGGAUAUAAGAAAUCACACAUAGGGCAGUUAUAAGACAUAUAUAGGACAGGACAUCAUAGAAAUAAGCAUUAUUAAGGGAGUGAUAAUACUGUAAGGAAGAUAUGAUGGUCCGAGACAUAUUUCUCUCUUGUCCCUCGGAAUUUUGACUUUUGACAACACUUUGAUUCUAGAGUCUGGGUCCAAAUCGUUUAGUUUGAUGAGGGUGCCUGGUGGCAUGGGGAAGAAGUGCUGCAGCUGGAAGGAUGAUUUUGUUGAUACUGACUCUCGUGGUUAUCUUGGCUUUUGGUUUGCAGAGGGAGAAGCCUAGGGUCAAGAUCACUAUAUUAGUCCGUUUUUGCAUUGCUGGAAAGAAAUACCUGAGACUGGGUAAUUUAUAAGAAAAGAGAUUUAAUUGGCUCACGGUUCUGCAGGCUGUACAGGAAGCGUGAUGCUGGCAUCUGCUCAGCUUCUGGAACGGCCUCAGGAAGCUUACAAUCAUGGUGGAAGGCAAAGGGGGAGUGGCUACGGCACUCAUAUGGUAAAAGUGGGAGCAAGAGAGGGGGAGGUGCCACACACUUUUAAAUGGUCAGAUCUCAGGAGAACUCACUAUUGCAAAGACAGCACCAAGAGGAUGGUGCUUAACCAUUUAUGAGAAAUCCACUUACCUGCCACCAGGCCCUACCUGUAACAUUGGAGAUUACAUUUCAACAUGAGAUUUGGGCAAGGACAUACAUCCAAACUAAAUCAAUCACAUGAGUCAGUAGUAGAUUCCAGAGGAACAAAAGGAUAGAGAGAUGCUGGCUGCCUAGAAAAAGCAGAAAGAAGUCCAAAAGGACUUCUGUCUCCAACCCCCAAAGUUUCGGGGGGAGAGCAGGAUAAUUUGAAAGGAGCUCAAAGCUGCUCUGAGGCUCCUCUGAAAUCACCUAGUUUGCAAUUUUUUAAAUUUAACAAAUAUUUGUUGAGGUUGCAGGCACUAUUUUGAGUUUGAAGGAUGAGGAGUAGGGAAAUAAAUCAACAUAUUCUCUGACCAUAGUUUAAACUUAAUGACCAGUAUAGUUGACGUAAACACAAAGAACACAAGGUGGUAACGGGGAAGUCUGGCUUAUUUGGAAGUUAUCCAGCCUCAUGUUCUCAACUUGGAGCACUGGGGUUGAGUCCUCCUUCUAAAUUCCAUUGUGGCCUAUGGUCCAUGUUGGUGUGUUCACCCAUGUCUCAGGCUGGGGACAGGUUGAUAGAGAAACUGUUAUGAAGCCUUAUCUUCCCUGCUUAGUGUGGGAAAUUCUACCCAGGUCUGGGGGACUUUAAUGUUUAUAACAACUUACUGUUUUGCAAAACUUGUCUUUCACUUCAGAGAGGCUAUCCCUACGUACUCCUAGUCAUUAGGUUUCCCAAAGCUUUACAUCAUGGCACUGAUUUUUGGCCAUAGUACCUGAAAAAAUGAACUCAUCCACAUCUUUAUUCUUGUUCCUUUGGGGAAAGAGAACUAGAAAAGUGCAGAAGGGCCAUCGGAAGCCCAGCUGCCCAUUUAGUCCUUCUUCGUGUUUGCUUUUGAGGAAAGGCAGCCAGUCCAGAUAAUUAGAGUCAGAAUUCUGAUGAAGGAUUUGUUCAAAGUUCAGUCACAGUCUGGGAUGGAGAACUCUGCAUGCCCACUUCCCUUGUUAAUAGCUUUGCUGACCUUCUCCAAAGAAAAAGUCAUUAGAAUGUUGAGUUAUGAUCUGUUUCUUGUAAAAUCUCGCCAGUCACCCAUUUAUAGCUCUGUAUUUCAACCAAUUCUAAUUACCUUUUAGAAUAUACUUCUCCCAGCCCUUGAAGAAUAUUGUAAACCCUGAACCAUGCAAUCAAGCAUACUUCUUGGUUAGAAAGCUGAUUGUGACCUAAUAUACACACAAAUCUCCACAAACACCCCCUCCCGUUUCCCAAGAGCCACAUAAUCAUCUAUAGGGCUCUCCAGGGCUCCAGAGAGCUGGUGUCAUUUGGUUACUUAAUGUUGGAAGAGGACAUUUCAUGGAGAAUGUUUUGUGUCAGAAAACUAAUGAGGAAGAGCAAAACACUCUUGUGUCUCUUGCUAUCAUUUUCUGUAUCUCCCUGGGGAAGCCCUCUCCUUCCUUCCCUUUACUAAGCAUUGUCUGAAGUUAGUGUCCAUCUUCUUCCUCCACCUCUGGAGAGUGAGGUGAAUCAGAUCAGAGUCCAUGGCGGAACUUGAAUUAUGGGGUUCUUGCAUCAGUCUUGCUUUGUUCCUACAAAAUAGUCACAGACUUAAAAAGCUAUCUCUGUUGCCUUAUAAAGUCAAGAGCUCCUUGGUACAUCUUGAACUUGGCUGUGUCUAGUGGAUUUCUCUCUACUAACCCUCUGCUAUAUAUUAGUCUCUAUCAUUUGAGACAAUUCAAAUGACUCAAAGAUUUUUGGAGGUCUCUGUAUUUUUUAAGAAAUGCUUUGAAUAGGAUUAAAAUCACUAGCACUGCUGAGAGGAAACAUUUUUAUAGACUUUCUAAAUCUCUCCACUGCUGAGAAGAAUUAAAAAAAAAAGCAGCAACAUUUCUCUUGUCUCUUUAUUUCUAAUCACUUUUUCCUUCUAACGGGACUGGAGCACCAUGAGAAAUGUCGGUCUUUUACGGCAAGGACUCAUUUGCCCAUAACGAACACUGAGUACAAAAGCAAAUUAAAAAAAAACAACCCUAUGCUUAGAGAGACCAUUAGGAACGAUUUGACAUUUAUUGAACAACAGAUGGCGAUUAAAAACAUAAAAGCUAGAUUGCCUUGCUAGAAACAAAGGGUAGUUCUACUGAGGAAGUCUAACGUUUCAAUUAAAACACGUCUCAGUGUCAAUUAAAUCAUAUGAAGAUAAGCCUGAAAAUGGUUUCUAGCUGCACUAUAAUCAAUAGUGCAGUUAAAAUCCCCAUCAAGAAGCACCCAAGUUUUUAGUUUGACAGUUUGCUAAAAGAUUAGCCAGAGCUUCAAGAAACCAUUUCCUUCAGUGUAGGGUUCAAAAGGUAAACAUUUAACCAGGAGUGCUUCAUAUGUAUUAAACAGAUUUAUUUCCAUGAUGAGAAGAAAGCCUCACUGGCUUUGCUUUGUUUCAAAUCUCAUCCGCUUUUCAGUAUGGAUUAGGCAUUAGUGAGGGGUGGAAAAAUAACCCCAUUAUUUCCACAACAAGGAUCUUGUUUUAAUGACGCUUAUAUUCUUUUGGGAAGCAGUGAGUUGGAGUGGAGAGACAGAGGUGAUUUGGUAGUGAGACAGACCUUGAGUUGAAUCGCAGCCUGGUCACUUUUAGCUAGUGUGUUGAAUGAUCAGAAUCUGUUUUCUCAUUUGUAAAAUUUCCAUACAAUAUUACCUUUCUUGGGUUGCCUGGUACAUUCUAGGGACUCAGUGAAUGAGCCCCUAUCUUUAGCUCUCAAUUGGCUGAACCUUGUGACACAAUCUAUUUUGGCAGAUCUUACCAAAACUGAGCUCAGUGGAUACCAGUUCUGCUACAUGUUUUAUGCCAAACGGUUACUGUGUGUUUUGGGUUGAAAUGUGUCCCUUCCAAAUUCAUAUGUUGAAAUCCUAAUGCCUAGUACGUCAGAAUGUGAUUUUCUUUGGAAAUAGGGUUGUUGCAGGUGCAAUUAGUCCAGUUAAGAUGAGGUCAUACUGGAGUAGAGAAGGCCCCUAAUCCAGUAUAAGUGGUGUCCUUAUUAUAAAGGAAAUGUGGAGAUAGACACCCACACAGGGAGAACACCAUAUGGACAUGAGGCAGAGAUCGGGGGAAUCUACAAGCCAAAGAAGGCCAAAGAUUGCCAGCAAACCCCCAGAAGCUGGGGAAGGCAGGAAAACAGAUUCUCCCUUACAGUCAGAAGGAACCAACCCUCCUGACACCUUGAUCUUGGUCUUCCAGCCUCCAAAGCUGGGAGACAAUAAAUUUCUAUUGUUUAAACCACCCUGUUUGUGGUGCUUUGUUACAGUGGUCCUAGCAAACUAAUACAUGAUGUCAAGUACAUUUGGUAAAAACUGGUACAGCACCCUGCUUUUGAAGAUUCUUAAUGGAACACUUUACCAAACUCAAGUCUCUGAGAUAUCAUACUAAUAAGAAUUAUCUCCAUCUUUAUUCAGUGUUUCCCAAACAUUUGAUCAUGGAAGACUUUCCUCCCCUGAAUAAAUACCGAUUUGCUUACUUUGGGAAAAAAUACUCUGAAACAUUUUGCCUUUAAGCCUACCUCCACCUCAGCCCCCCAGGCUUCUGCUUCAGCUCUGGCUCUCUGGCCAGCUGCAACGCCGCUUAACCAUGUGCUCAGCACCAUUGCAGAGUGAAUGGUGAUCCUUGUCCUUUGCUCACUUUGUCGACAACCUUCCCUGGUGCAUUUUCUCCCUUUCCCCACUUCUGCUGUCCAGGUGUGAGGUGUUGCUUGAGAAAGCCAUGAAACCCAGUCAAGUUCCAUGGUAGUCCAAUGCAGUGCUUUUUGAGCUGAGUCUCCACUGCUGCAGCUGCUGCUGAGUCCUUAUAUUUUUGUGUUUCUCUAUUCAUCAUUUGGCGUGUGGCCUACUGUGAGCCAGUUCUCUUGCUAGUGAUUGGGAAGGUAGGUGAGGAGCAACAGGCACCGAGGCAUCCCUUCUCUCAACUGUUGAUGGCAUUGCAGAGGAGAUAACCUAAUAGUGUGAGAGAAAAGCCUUAACAAAAAUACCUUCAUGUUGAAACAGAAAGGGGAAUAAAGGGCGAACAAGAGUAUGCUAGCCAGACAAAGGUAGAAGAUUGUAUUUCAGGCAGAAGAAAUAGCACGUGUAUUCAGGAUAUUUCAAGUCCUGGUCAGAUGUUAGGUUGCAAGUUUGGGGAGAAUAGGAUAUGAAGCUAGGAAGGAGACAGGGAUAUAAGCACUACAGGCUAAAGUACUUGCCAUUUAUCUGGGAGGGAAUGGGGAGUCAUUGAUCACUGCACAGAGAUGAGAUUUUCAUUUAUGAAAGGUCACGAUGGGAUUGUAAAUGAUAUUAAUUCUCCUUGUCAUUUUUGGUGCGUUCAAAAUUGUCAUUCAACUUUCGUUUUUGAAAAUGUUAUAUAAAUGUUGUGUAAUUAUAUUUUUAUUAAAAAGAUUAAAAAAUUUAGAAAUAUAUGGAGAAAUUUUGAGCUUUUCUUAUUACUCUCCCCAUCAACUUACAUCCCCUCCCAAUAGGUAUGCUUUAUUGUUCAGUCCCUCAUUGAUCUUUCUAUGCAUCUGUGGGUAUGUAUACACGGACACACACAUAUACAUGCUUGCAUAUACACACACAUAUACACACAUUUGUAUACACACAUUGUGAUUCAAAUUUGUUAAUUAAAAAACACAAAUACAAUCAUGCUGUGUCUGUCUUUGGUGAUAUUUUUCACAAUAACAAUGUUCUGGAAGCCUUUCACAUACGGGUAUCUUAUUCUUUAUAACGGUUUCAUAGUAUUCCAUAGAAUGGAUGAAACAGUUUAUUUUAGCCACUCCCUCUUUAAAUAAAAGUGUUUUUAUAAGAAUUACUUCAAAGAUAUUUUGUCUAUACAUUUUUGUGCCCAUACACAAAUAUUUCUUUAAGAUUUCUAGAAGUAUAUUUUUUGAUCAAAGAGUAUAGCAUUUAAAAUCUUGAAAAUGUAGUCAAAAAUGACUUCUAAAAUAGAUUCAGUUAUGUACUCUUGUACUUGUUUUUCAAAGAAUGAAAUUAUCAAUAUUUUAAAUUUCUUUGAAUUUGUUGGGCUUAAAUUUUAAAAAUAUUCUUUUUCCUUAUUUUAAAUGAGGUUGAGAAUCUUUCCUGUGAACGUUGCCUAUUUUUAUUUAUUAUUGUAAAUUGCCAGUUCUUAUCGCUUCUCUAUUUUUAAAAUUGAGACUUUCAUAUUUAUCUCAUUAACUUGUAGAAGUUUGUUAUAUAAUUUGAAUGGUAAAUACUCUGUCAUUUUAAUAAUUAAUACUUAAUAAUUUCUUUCAAUAUGACACUUUUCUUCUGACUUUAU
rnacentral:lncRNA from 1 species